GAUGAACGCUGGCGGCGUGCUUAACACAUGCAAGUCGAACGGAAAGGCUCCUGCUUGCAGGGGUACUCGAGUGGCGAACGGGUGAGUAACACGUGGGUGAUCUGCCCUGCACUUCGGGAUAAGCCUGGGAAACUGGGUCUAAUACCGGAUAGGACGAUGGUUUGGAUGCCAUUGUGGAAAGUUUUUCGGUGUGGGAUGAGCUCGCGGCCUAUCAGCUUGUUGGUGGGGUAAUGGCCUACCAAGGCGUCGACGGGUAGCCGGCCUGAGAGGGUGUACGGCCACAUUGGGACUGAGAUACGGCCCAGACUCCUACGGGAGGCAGCAGUGGGGAAGAUUGCACAAUGGGCGCAAGCCUGAUGCAGCGACGCCGCGUGGGGGAUGACGGCCUUCGGGUUGUAAACUCCUUUCGCUAGGGACGAAGCGCAAGUGACGGUACCUGGAGAAGAAGCACCGGCUAACUACGUG
rnacentral:rRNA from 1 species